UAAGGAAUAUUGCUCAAUGGGAGAAAUCCUGAAGCAGCAACGCCGCGUGGAGGAUGAAGGGUCUAUGACUUGUAAACUCCUGUAAAGAAGGAAAAAAUUCCCAUUAGAUGGGAGAUGAUGGUACUUCUGGAGUAAGCCCCGGCUAACUACGUGCCAGCAGCCGCGGUAAUACGUGGGGGGCAAGCGUUGUCCGGAUUUACUGGGUGUAAAGGGUGCUCAGGCGGAUUUGUAAGUCAGAGGUGAAAUCUUACAGCUUAACUGUGAAACUGCCUUUGAUACUGCAAGCCUAGAGUAUGGAAGAGAGUGAUGGAAUAUCUGGUGUAGCAGUGAAAUGCGUAGAUAUCAGAUAGAACACCAAUGGCGAAGGCAGUCACUUGGUCCAUUACUGACGCUAAAGCACGAAAGCGUGGGUAGCAAACA
rnacentral:rRNA from 1 species